rnacentral:rRNA from 1 species
GCAGUCGCCGCGGUAAUACGUAGGGGGCAAGCGUUGUCCGGAAUUAUUGGGCGUAAAGCGCGUGUAGGCGGCUCAGCAAGUCCGCUCUGAAAGCCCAGGGCUCAACCCAGGGAUGCGGGUGGAUACUGCUGAGCUCGAGUCCGGAAGAGGCGAGUGGAAUUCCUGGUGUAGCGGUGAAAUGCGCAGAUAUCAGGAGGAACACCAAUGGCGAAGGCAGCUCGCUGGGACGUGACUGACGCUGAGACGCGAAAGCGUGGGGAGCAAACAGGAUUAGAUACCCCCGUAGUCCCUGUCUCUUAUAC